GCACAAGCGGUGAGCAUGUGGUUUAAUUCGAUGAUACGCGAGGAACCUUACCUGGGCUCAAAUGUAUGUUGACGUAUUCUGAAAGGGAUACUUCUUCGGACAAUAUACAAGGUGCUGCAUGGUUGUCGUCAGCUCGUGCCGUGAGGUGUCGGGUUAAGUCCCAUAACGAGCGCAACCCUAUCAUUAGUUGCCAUCAGGUCAAGCUGGGGACUCUAAUGAAACUGCCUACGCAAGUAGUGAGGAAGGUGGGGAUGACGUCAAAUCAGCACGGCCCUUACGUCCAGGGCUACACACGUGCUACAAUGGCCGGUACAAAGGGCAGCUACCUGGUGACAGGAUGCAAAUCUCCAAAGUCGGUCUCAGUUCGGAUCGGAGUCUGCAACCCGACUCCGUGAAGUUGGAUUCGCUAGUAAUACGCGCAUCAGCCAUGGCGGCGGGUGGAAUAACGUUCCCGGGCCGUU
rnacentral:rRNA from 1 species